UACGUAGGGGGCUAGCGUUGUCCGGAAUCAUUGGGCGUAAAGCGCGCGUAGGCGGCCCGGUAAGUCCGCUCUGAAAGUCCAGGGCUCAACCCUGGAAAGCGGGUGGAUACUGCCGGGCUAGAAUCCGGAAGAGGCGAGUGGAAUUCCUGGUGUAGCGGUGGAAUGCGCAGAUAUCAGGAGGAACACCAGUGGCGAAGGCGACUUCCUGGCCUGUUCUUGACGCUGAGGCGCGAAAGCUAGGGGAGCAAACGGG
rnacentral:rRNA from 1 species